AUACGGAGGAUGCGAGCGUUAUCCGGAUUUAUUGGGUUUAAAGGGUGUGUAGGUGGUUCGGUAAGUCAGUGGUGAAAUUUUGUCGCUCAACGAUAAAUGUGCCAUUGAAACUGUCGGACUUGAGUGUACCUGAUGUAUGCGGAAUGCGUGGUGUAGCGGUGAAAUGCAUAGAUAUCACGCAGAACUCCGAUAGCGAAGGCAGCAUACAAAAGUACAACUGACACUGAGACACGAAAGCGUGGGUAUCAAACAGGAUUAGAUACCCUGGUAGUCCACGCAGUAAACGAUGAUUACUCGCUGUUUGCGAUAUAAUGUAAGCGGCCAAGCGAAAGCGAUAAGUAAUCCACCUGGGGAGUACGCCGGCAACGGUGAA
rnacentral:rRNA from 1 species